GACGAACGCUGGCGGCGUGCCUAAUACAUGCAAGUUGAGCGCUGAAGGUUGGUACUUGUACCAACUGGAUGAGCAGCGAACGGGUGAGUAACGCGUGGGGAAUCUGCCUUUGAGCGGGGGACAACAUUUGGAAACGAAUGCUAAUACCGCAUAAAAACUUUAAACACAAGUUUUAAGUUUGAAAGAUGCAAUUGCAUCACUCAAAGAUGAUCCCGCGUUGUAUUAGCUAGUUGGUGAGGUAAAGGCUCACCAAGGCGAUGAUACAUAGCCGACCUGAGAGGGUGAUCGGCCACAUUGGGACUGAGACACGGCCCAAACUCCUACGGGAGGCAGCAGUAGGGAAGCUUUGGCAAUGGACGAAAGUCUGAACGAGCAACGCCGCGUGAGUGAAGAAGGGUUUCGGAUCGUAAAACUCUGUUGGUAGAGAAGAACGUUGGUGAGAGUGGAAAGCUCAUCAAGUGACGGUAACUACCCAGAAAGGGACGGCUAACUACGUG
rnacentral:rRNA from 1 species